UACGUAGGUGGCGAGCGUUAUACGGAUUUAUUGGGCGUAAAGGGUGCGUAGGCGGUUAAUUAAGUCUAAAAUCAAACCUUGGAGCUUAACUCCAUUUCGUUUUAGAAACUGAAUAACUAGAGUACGGUAGAGGCAAAUGGAAUUCCUAGUGUAGCGGUGGAAUGCGUAGAUAUUAGGAGGAACACCAGUGGCGAAAGCGAUUUGCUAGGCCGAAACUGACGCUAAUGCACGAAAGCGUGGGGAGC
rnacentral:rRNA from 1 species